AUGUCUCGGACCCAACCUUCUCUUCGAUUCGCGGAUACAACAGUUCACGAGUCAACACCUCGUCGCUCUCUCCUCCAUGAAACCACCGUCUCACACUCCCCAUCUCUCUUGUCAAAUCAGCAGCGGCUUCAAUUCAACCUUCUAUUCUCUGUCCUCUUCAUGCUCCCCUCACAACAUCUCCAACCUCUCUUUUGUUUCAAGCCGUCUCGCCUUCAUCUCAUCUACGAUUCAACCUUCCGCCACUCAUCUUCAGAUCAAUCAGUCGGAGUUCGUCCGACGCGUCUUCGACGGUGGCGGCGGCAAAGACGAGAAAUCGAGAGAAAUAGACUCAGAUUUAUCGUAGAAGAAUUAUAG